CAACUGAACCCUACGGGAUGGAGACGAAUAUUCGAUGGGAAGGUACUACAUAGUGUUAACUAUUGGUCUUUUCGGGUGUGCAUAGUAAUGUGUUACUUAAGUAAUCUCCUCUUGUUGAUCUCAUUCCAUCUUAUUAGUUGACUCGUAUAUAUGCUAUAGACUGAAUAUGCACUUCCCACUAUUUGUUUUGCUAUGCCAGGAGUGGUCAGGGUUAGCUCGCUUAUUCUGGUCAAGUGAGGAAGCAGGAGUAGCAAAUUAUGGAGGCAAGAACGGACGUACCAUGAUGGUUGAUUUGUACUAUGAUGUUACUAGCUUGGCUUGUGAAUAAUGCAGAAGAUGUGUAUGACCUGCUUCAGCUGUUGCGAUCAAUGUAUCAUCAUCUUUUUUAUGCUCAGACGCACACAGGUCUCGGGAAGACCAAAAUCUGACAAGGGAAGUUCAGAGGUAGGCAGCGUGCAAGAUGAGCCUGAAACAUUUCUCGUAUCUUUGCUCCAUGGUGUGUGUUAGCUGUGGUUAAUUUAGUCUGUAUUUAAGCUAUCUAUCUGAUGUCAUAAACUGCAUGUACUACUGAACCUGCUACUGCUUACAUUGCUUUAUGAUUUCAUA
rnacentral:lncRNA from 1 species